rnacentral:rRNA from 1 species
AAGGGUGGUAAUGCCGGAUGCUCCAGUUGAUCGCAUGGUCUUCUGGGAAAGCUUUCGCGGUAUGGGAUGGGGUCGCGUCCUAUCAGCUUGACGGCGGGGUAACGGCCCACCGUGGCUUCGACGGGUAGCCGGCCUGAGAGGGCGACCGGCCACAUUGGGACUGAGAUACGGCCCAGACUCCUACGGGAGGCAGCAGUGGGGAAUAUUGCACAAUGGGCGCAAGCCUGAUGCAGCGACGCCGCGUGAGGGAUGGAGGCCUUCGGGUUGUAAACCUCUUUUAUCGGGGAGCAAGCGAGAGUGAGUUUACCCGUUGAAUAAGCACCGGCUAACUACGUGCCAGCAGCCGCGGUAAUACGUAGGGUGCAAGCGUUAUCCGGAAUUAUUGGGCGUAAAGGGCUCGUAGGCGGUUCGUCGCGUCCGGUGUGAAAGUCCAUCGCUUAACGGUGGAUCCGCGCCGGGUACGGGCGGGCUUGAGUGCGGUAGGGGAGACUGGAAUUCCCGGUGUAACGGUGGAAUGUGUAGAUAUCGAAAAAAAACCACCCA